CCUGGUGGCUAUGGCGAGGGGCCUGCACCCGAUCCCAUCCCGAACUCGGAAGUGAAAACCCUCAGCGCCAAUGGUACUGCAUCUUAAGGUGUGGGAGAGUAGGUCGCCGCCAGGC
rnacentral:rRNA from 1 species